GCCCUUGUAGUACAAUAGGCAGUACUUCAGUCUCAAAACCUGAAGGUCCUGAGCUCGAUCCUCGGAGGGCA
rnacentral:tRNA from 1 species